AAUUGAAAUUAUAAGUUUGUGCAUUAUUACGAUUGUAUUGUCAAAGACUAUUAUACUUCUAUAAUGACAGAUUUCGCGAAGACUACCUACACUUUAGACCAAUAUAGACAAACCAUAUUUAAUCUAUUCAAUAAAGACAAACCAUAUUUAAUCUAUUCAAUAAAGACAAACCAUAUUUGAGUGACUUUUUGGCGGGAACGCGAGGAGUGAAGUUGUGUGAUUUGUUUUAUUUUGUCUAUUUAGUGUUUCUUCGGGUUUAAAUGUGUAAUAAUGGUGGUUUAUUAACCGUUUAAUAUCUGUGAAAGUGCACAAAUGUGGGAAAAUGAAACAAAGCCGCUGGACGUAACUUCUCGGGAUCCUCCAAAAAGUCCACUGAAAAAUCUUAGUAAAUGACCACCAUUUUACUGAGAUUAGAUUUCAUCUCAUAUCAUCUCAUUUAAUUUCAUCCUAGUUGAUUAAUGUCUCAAAUUAAUCAUUUUCAUUUCAUUUCACUCCAUAAUAUCAUUUUUCAUAAAACUAAGAAUAUAGAUUAAAAUAAGACAUGACUUAAAGGUCUCAGUUACCAGGUCAUAAAAUCUCUUAAAUUAAUUAACCAUAUUUGAGUCGUUUAUUAUCAAAGGUGGCAAUCUGUGCAUUUGGACAAAAAAAUGUCAUUGAUGACUUUUUGGCGGGAACGCGAGGAGUGAAGUUGUGUGAUUUGUUUUAUUUUGUCUAUUUAGUGUUUCUUCAGGUUUAAAUGUGUAAUAAUGGUGGUUUAUUAACUGUUUAAUAUCUGUGAAAGUGCACAAAUGUGGGAAAAUGAAACAAAGCUGCUGGACGUAACUUCUCGGGUUCCUCCAAAAAGUCCACUGAAAAAAUCUCAGUAAAUGACCACCAUUUUACUGCGAUUAUAUUUCAUCCCAUAUCAUCUCAUUUCAUUAAAUUUCAUCCCAGUUGAUUAAUGUCUUAAAUUAAUCAUCUUCAUUUCAUUUCACUCUAUAUUAUCAUUUUUCAUAAAAUUAAGAAUAUAAAGUAAAAUAAGACAUGACUUAAAGGUCUUAGUUACCAGGUCAUAAAAUCUCUUAAAAAAAAAAAUGUCAUUGAUAUGUCAAUACAGAUUGAUUUGAAUCAUAGAGUUACUAUUCUAACUGGAGUGCUUACUUCGUUUGACAUAAUAACUAAAAAUAUACUUUAUCUCUAUGGCUUAAAGUUUAUUUUUAAAUAGCAAAAGAUGUAAGGAAAAACGGUCUGAAAAGAGAAUGAUUAUUAAGUGGUGGUGUCCCUCUCGCACAUUUUACAAACAAAAAGCAGUGUUGCUAGCUUAGGGGAUUUUCCGUAAAAUCUCGGAAUUUGGACCCCCGUCUUAGUUAUCAAAAAUGGCUUUUAGUGGUUAGUGGAUUUUUUAGUAGCUUGGGCGUUGUUGAAAAUUAUCGAAAAGGUUAAAAUCAAUCCACUUUACAGGAUUUUAAACAUUUUAUGACAAUAAUAUAUCUAAAUACAUAUUAUUUAAACGAUGUGACUUAAACUUAACUAGAAAAUGUUGCGACAAUUUAGAAUUUCCAUCAACGUCAAUAAUUAAAUUGGUUCAAAAUAAACGUACAAAGUUAUGGUGAAAUUAGUUUCUGAUGAUGACAAUUUAUUAAAAUAAAUUAUAUAAGAAGUAUUGAUUAUAUGAUAUAUAUUGAUUUUUAAUAGAACAUCAUGUAUUAAUAAAGCUCAUUAACAAAAAAAUUAUUGUUCUAUAUUAAUAAGAACUCUGUUUAAUGGAAAAUGUAAUGGUAGGUACGUAGAUUUCUGAUGGUUUUCAUGUUGAAUUUGGUGGGAAGCCAGAUUAAUUGUUGGCAUCACCGAAAAAGAGCUAUGAAUGGAUUAAAAGAAAAAUGGCGUCUAUUUACGUUUGUAGUGCGAAGUUAAAAUGGCACUGAUACAGCUUGUGGCUUGUUUUUUUUCGAAAAUCGUGAAAGUUUCCGUGUAAUCAUGGUGAACACUUUUAAUGUAAGUGGUUUUAAGCGAGAAUCCUCUCCAGUUUGUGGAAUAUCCUUCCAUAUGUCAGAUUCAUUGAUAAAUUUUUACUAGUGUGAGCAUAUAUUUUUAAAAUGUGAGAUAUUUUUUCUCAUUAUAAUAUUUAAUACCAUUUGUCUUGUAAAUUGUACUUAAUCUAUGUCAUAUACUAAAUUUGAAAAAACAAUCGUGAAAACUAUAAUUUUGCAAUGUAUUUUUUAUAUUAUAAGAGCCAUCACGUAGUAUUUUUUGAACUUUUUUUAUUGUAUUGAAUAGCGUCGCACGCAAGCAUGUAUAUCAUUUGCCUGACGUUAAGCCAACGAGGAGGAUCUUCUAGUAAAUAUGACGUUGGAAUUUCUGGAAAAUGUUCUAUAUAAAGGUCAAACAAGAAGAAUCAAGUACUCAAACGCAAGAAAUAAAAAAUACCCCGAGAAAAGCAAAAUUACGACAAGAUGUUAAGGUAUUGAAACAAAAACUUAAAAGCCGCGAAAUAGUGAUUGUAAAUAUAAAGUCGAUUUUAGAUUUAUUAAAGAAAAAUGGCGAUUUUUAAUUGAAUUGAAAUUUAAAUUGCGAAAUUUUAAUGAUACUCAUGGUCCACUUAGAUAUUGAUUAAAAUAAAUUAUGUAUUUCGUUGAAAAAAAAGAAUUUACUUAAAAUAGAGGAAAUGUUAUAUUAUAAGACUACAGAAAAUUAACUGAACUUAAUAAUAAUAAUAUAACCAAUAUUUUGUAAAUAGACAUCAAGUACUAUGUGUAUUGUGUUAUGUGUAUUGACUUGUCAUUUAAGAGUUAUUUAAUUGUCUACAUAUAACAAAUAAAUGAAUUUCAGUUCAUUUCAUUUUAUUACCCAUUGUGUUUUAUUUCCUAAAAUGUAACUAGUAGACUUAAUAUACACGUGUCAUGAAAAUAGCACAGAAGUAAAAAUACAAGCAAUUUUAAAUCAAUUGAAGAUGUGAAUGUAGGAAAAGAGCACCCGAUACGCGCAGACCAUGUGUGUUGCAAUGUCUCACUUAGUGUGUCAAAUAUUAAUUUGCACGGCCCACUUAGCCAGUACAUUAAAGUAGGAAUUGCGUAAUUAAGUUCAGUAUUCGGACGUUAAACAUGAGUUUGAGGAAGUUUAAGUAAUAGAACUGAGGUAAUGAUGUUUGUAAUAAAACUCAGUGCUAGAUUUUCGACAACGCAGCAACUUCCAAAAAAAACCGUCGAAAAAAAGUCACCAUGACGACGAAGCAAUGUUUAGAAUUGAAUUUACAUAAAUAAAACGUUGCAAGCACGUGUUUUGUAUUUACAUAGGGUUACACAGAAUUACUUAAGGUAAAUUCAAAACUGAUGCAUGUGUAUAAUUGUGUCCUAUAAAUACAUUUUAUAUGGUCACCACAUUAGACAAGGACACCGCGACCAAAAAGUAUUCUCUUUCGAGACCGAUUUCUCGGCAUUAGACAGCACUCCAGUUGUAGGUACUUAUUAACUCCAUGAUUUGAAUAUAAUCGUCUGCUUCAAAGAAUACGGUUCAAAACCUGCAUUAAAUAAAGGUUAAUAGUUAACCUGUUAUUUAUCUAAGAUGUCGUUCCGAAGAGUUUUGUGACUGCCAAUGGAAUACAAAGUCAAUAAUUCGUUUUUCUGAUUUACCAAUAAUUGUCCAAAAGUCAGAUUGCCGGCUUUGAUAAUAGUCGACUAAUUUAAUCUAUUCUCAAUUUGACCACAGACUUUAAGCAAUAAGAAAAGUUUGACAAUAAACAAACAGUAUGCAUGCGUGUGUGUGUGUCAAAUACAUGGUAGUGUGAGUAAUGUUUUUUUUAUUGUUUUAAUAUAUUAUUAAAGCAUAAUUUAAAAAAAUAUUAGCACUAUGCACUCCUUCUCUAUAUUCUCUAUAAGUGUGGGAAAUUUCAUACUCCUCCGUCCGCACAAUUUUCGUAAAAAGGGGUACAAACUUUUUGCUUCACGUAUUAAUAUAUAGACAGUAUGUGAGCGUGAACAAAGAGAACUGGUGUAUUUUUUCAUGGAAUUGUGCAUAAACGAUUUACGAUUGUUCAAUGUUCGCGUUAGAUAGCGGUUAUUCGGUGCGGCCAACCACGUAAACGGUACAUAGCACCGGCGCAAUCAUUCAUGCGAAAUUCUAAGGAACUAGAGGUCCCGCAGUAGUCGAAAUUCGACUAUAAUUAAUUGGAGUUGUAAGUUUGUACACUAUUAUGAUUGUAUUUUAUACUUCUAUAAUAACAAAUUUCGCCAAGACUACACUAUAAAAAAUAUUAAACAAAGACAAACAAUAUUCAACCUCAAUUUGACAACACACGUAAACAGGGGGGUGCAACUCCCAUACAAAGGAAAAUAACAUACAACUAGCGUCAUCUUACUCCUGUGGCGACGUCAUUUUUGUAACGUUUUGGCCUUAAUGAACUAAUAAACUCACUAGAUGGCAGAUACGAGUUCUGACUCAAUAAAAAAUGUUAGCGUACUUUGAAGCAGUGCUUCCACUUUUAGGGAAUUCUCCCUUUUUUAGGGAAAAAUAGCUGAUAUUUUGGAUGAUAAAGAAAAUUUGAAAAAUACCAGGAUUUAGGAUAUUUCGGGGUAAAAAGCAAAGCCUAUACUAGUAACUGUUGUGAAUUUUAAAAUAAACGAUAAUUAAAGUAAAACAAUGAACAUUUUAUUUUAUGGAGAGAAUGACAUUAAGUCAAGUUGACAAGUAAAAGAAUAAAACAGAGUUGUGUAUAAAAACUAUAAAGAAGGUUUGAUUCAACAGUAACCCUCUAGUAAAGUAAAUCAUAGAUUAAGCCACUGCUUUUUUCUUAGGGAUUCCCCAGAAUCCCAAUAAGUAUAAUCCGCCAAAUUUUUAUUUACCUAUUUUCGUUGAUGUCACCAGAACUUACUUGUAUUGUAAUAUACAGGUACUUUAUGUACCAUGAAAGAUUAUCAUGGUAAUUUCAUUUACGAAAACCUUGUAAUUGUCAUUUCACUUUUGCUAGCAGUUCCUUCUUCAAAGACUGAGGUGGAAAGAUUAUUCAGUGUUCUCAAAUGUAAAAACUGACAAAAGAAACAGGCUUUCUAAUGAAACCCUGAACGGCUUGCUUCAUAGAAAGUUCCCAACUUUGCCAACAAACAAUUGCUCAAUUUUAGAACCGAACAGUGUUAGGUUGCGUGCAGCAAAAGAAUAUAAAAGCAAUGCGUCGACUUCCUUGAAAAUUCUAAUCCUAUAGAUCUAUGAUCUUCUGGGGGCGUUUAUAUUAAAUAUUUACAUUAAAUAAUAUACUGUGGUUUAUUUUCUGUAUUUUAUUUAUGCUUUCUAUAUAAAGGAUUUAUGAAAGUUGUUUAGGAAAUUUUAGGGAUAAAUUCAAAAGAAACUAGGGUAAAACGUGGUAAAAAAAACGUAAGUGGAAACACUGCUUUGAAGUUUUCAAAAUUCCAGGGACGUAAAACAAUCUAAAAAAAAAAAAAGUUUUCAAAAUGUCGUAACGCUUUAAUUUUUUAAAUUGUUUUUUUUUGGUCUUGGUGUGAGUUAUUUUACGUUGUAGUAUUAAUUUAGAGCAACUUUUAGCUUUAUGAGAAUAUUAGACGAUUAGACAUUGAGAAACUCUGUUUUGAAUUCUCUUUAGACAUAACUUGGCUCCAAUACUUUUUUCUUCGUUAGCGUUUCGUAAGCCUGUGUAACUAUUUUCAUUUCUUACAGAAAGUUUAUUAUUAAAAAUCAGCAUGCCUCGAAGAUCGAAAAUGAAAUGCUAUUUCGGAUGCCUUGAUAACGACAAAGGUUUGAUUAUGACAAAAUUUUAUGGAAAAAUUAUAAGGAGCACUAAAAUGUCUGAAACAUGAAAAGAUUGAUGCACUAUAUUUGAACCAGAACGUGUUAUGUAAUAUAUUAAUUUAAGAGAAACUGAUUCAGCAAGGAACGUGAACUCUCAAGGAUCUUAAUUUUUUUUAAAUAUGUUUAUAAUUUAUAAAUUAAUAAUUGAAAUAGUUCAUAAGAACUAGAUUGAUGCCAAUUUUGUUUUAAAAUAGGUUGUUUAGUUCUUAUAGUUAUAGUAUUACGUUUGAAUAGUUGUAAUUAGUAAGUUAGUAAUAUAUGAAAAUACUGAUAUAAAUUUUUGUAAAUAACCUUUUGUACAUUCUACGAGAAGAUGAUUUUAAUUAAUGAUCAAAAGUCAGCGGUCUUCAAAAGCAUUAUUUGCAAUUAUUUAGAUUAACUGUGGAAUAUAUUUGCUAAGUUGUGUUUUCUGUAUGAGCAGAUAUAAAUGAAAAUGCCCAAACAUGAUUAUGUUUCUUACAUUUUCAUUAUGUGAAAUCAAUAUGCUUGUGAUUGAGUAUAUUAAUAAUUUAUUAAAACUUAAGUGAUAGACAGCAACCCCUAUGGCACUGCUGAAGUUUAUAAGCACUGGUGACCACUUAUCAUGAGCCGGGUUGCGUGCUCGUCUGCUGUUGAGUGCACUAAAAAUUUUCGAAACCCUUUCUAUUAUUUAGAUGUAAUAUUAAUGUACAUUUAAUUUGGAUUAAAAGAUAAAUUUACAUUUUAUGUUUGGAUGUGUAUGUUUAUAAUUCAUUUGCAUGUAACGAACAUCAGUUUCUUUUGUAACAAAAUGCAAACUAAUGGUUUGUAAUGAAUGUAAUUAACUUUAAGAUGAUUUUCUUUCAAUCUGCUGUUUGUUUCAUCUAGUAUUACCAAAGCUAAAGCAUCAGAAAUGUCAGAAUAGAAAUAAUUUAGAUAGGGAAUAAAAGUAUAACUAUUGUAAUCAUGUCUAAGAUUACUAUAAGCGUCAUUAAGUACAAACUAUCAAUAUUUAAGAGUACUUUAAAUCAUCAUUACAUUUUUUAAACAUUUUUUGUUUUUUUUUGUUUUUCAAAUCAUGCAACAAAACGUUUGUGCAGAACAAAAUGUCACAUGUUAUGAACCUGAUUGUGGGUUAAUCGUUUCUUAAAUUUCUAAAUGUUUAUAAGAAUGCUAAGAAUAAUUUAGUAUUCACUUUAGUGUGUGUAUUAUCUCUACAAUGCUAGUUUAAAUGGCAAUUAUUGUAUGACGAAGCAUAGGUAGUGUUUAUAGAUGUAAUAUUUUCAUACAAGGUCAUGAUCUGUCACGAUCAACUUUAAGCAAGAACUGCUAUCGUUAAGAAACAAAUUUAUUAAAUUUAAUUCAAAUUGUCUACUAUGUUUGUAAUGGAAAGCUGACAUGGUUAUAUUUCGCACAAAUGACUUAAUUGACAUUGAAUGAUUUGAUUAUCUAGACUUAAUUAACUUUUAGAUAACUUUCGAUUUAAUGUUAAUAAGUACGCUAGUAGGAUUAAUCUAGAGGAGUUAUUGUUAUUCGAAAUUUUAUACAAUUGUACGUUCAUACAAUCUUUUAACAGAAAAUUAUUUGUAAUAUAGGGAAAUUAAAUAGCUUACAGAGAA